GUAGAGAGAAGCUUGCUUCUCUUGAGAGCGGCGGACGGGUGAGUAAUGCCUAGGAAUCUGCCUGGUAGUGGGGGAUAACGUUCGGAAACGAACGCUAAUACCGCAUACGUCCUACGGGAGAAAGCAGGGGACCUUCGGGCCUUGCGCUAUCAGAUGAGCCUAGGUCGGAUUAGCUAGUUGGUGAGGUAAUGGCUCACCAAGGCGACGAUCCGUAACUGGUCUGAGAGGAUGAUCAGUCACACUGGAACUGAGACACGGUCCAGACUCCUACGGGAGGCAGCAGUGGGGAAUAUUGGACAAUGGGCGAAAGCCUGAUCCAGCCAUGCCGCGUGUGUGAAGAAGGUCUUCGGAUUGUAAAGCACUUUAAGUUGGGAGGAAGGGCCAUUACCUAAUACGUGAUGGUUUUGACGUUACCGACAGAAUAAACACCGGCUAACUCUGUGCCAACAGCCGCGGUAAUACAGAGGGUGCAAGCGUUAAUCGGAAUUACUGGGCGUAAAGCGCGCGUAGGUGGUUUGUUAAGUUGCAUGUGAAAUCCCCUGGCUCUACCUGCGAACUGCAUUCAACACUGACGAGCUAGAGUAUGGUAGAGGGUGGUGGAAUUUCAUGUGUAGCGGUGAAAUGCGUAGAUAUAACAAGGAACACCAGUGGCACUAGCGACCACCUGGACUGAGUUUGACCCUCACGUGUGAACGCGUGGGUAGCAAACACGAUUAGAGACGCUGCUAUUCCACGCCGUAUUCGAUGCCAACUCUACGUUGUUAGCCUGACCUCGUAAUGUCGCAGCUCACGCAUUAAUUUACGCCUGGGAGUGGGACGCAUGCUCAAAGUCAAACGAGUGUUUGUGACCGAUACGAGAGCAUGGGCUAUUCGACAUCGAAAGACAUACAUGCUUGCUCAUGACCUGUCGACAUGCAUAGAUGCGUCGUACUUCGGAAGUGAGCAGCUGCGCAGGUUGGUCUGCCUCGUCGUCAAGUUUGUAUUAUCCAACAUGUCUACUCCACCGUAUGUGGCGUUUGCUCUCUUGAACUCGACUCGCCUCAGAAGUAAGCUUACCUGGUACUGCCAUGACGACAAGUGCGUCGGAGGACA
rnacentral:rRNA from 1 species